rnacentral:ribozyme from 13 species
AAGGAAAAAACAAAAACUUGCAACACUUGUUUUCUCCUUUCCGACUUCCCCCCCCCCUUUGCUUUCUUUUUCAUUCUUUCUCCUUUCUUCUUCUUU